UAGGAAAGAACAAAAAGACCGCGUGCCGGCGCCCAGAGCCACACAGCACACUACACAGCCUCCAAAGGAGACCAAGACUUGGUGUCUCCAUAUUCUUUUCCUGUUUGCAGCUUCUUCUUCCCUCCGGUAUCCUAAGGGGGGAGAAAAUGGCUUUGGGACUUAUAUUAGGGAUAGGGAGAGCAAUGCGAAGGAAAAGUACAUCAUCACUUGACAUUCGCUCGUCGAAACGCGGCCCGCGAGAUUAUUACAAGGGAAAGAAUUGCGAGCCAACUGGUUUCCAUACUCGCAAAGGUUCGAUUGUUUUUACUUCCAUUUGCAAUUUCUCCAUUCCAGCUUAAAUGUGUUUGUUUGAUAAUCCAGGGAUUUAGAAGAGUGAUGAUAAUUGUUUGAGUUCAAUGAAAUGUACUGAAAAGUUAUUAGAAUUCAUGAAAACUUAUAAUUUUACAUGCUCACCGCGUUUAUAGUUUUCGUCUGCUUUGAUUUAACUGGACAAUUAAUGCAGGUGGUACGUUGUGGUGCAAGUGAAACGCCCAACUUUUGGUUCCUGAUUUGACUGACUUCGAUCUCAAGCCACAUUGUCACAGUGCCUGAUGGAAGUCAAAGCAGCUGAGACUGCUGAAUCAGGAAUAUAGUUUAAUAAAGCGAGAAAGGGC